GGGAAGGAGUGAAAGCAGAGGAGGAGGCGCCGCAGGGCGGGGAGGCGGCGGCGUGCGGGCCCUGCCUUGUGCCUGCGGCCGGGGCUGCCCCGGGCUGCCCAGGGGCUGCCACAGCGCCGGGGACCCUCUGCCGCCCAGGGGUGGUGGGCAGUGACCCGCCUUCUUGUGAUAGCGGGAAGUUUAUUUUAAACGCGUUUCAUUUAUAAGUAAUGUUUUUGCUGCUAACACGGUGUAGGGCAGUAGUCCUCCAUGCCCUCAGAAUGGGUGUUGUGGCUGAGGAGGGAUUUGGGGCCUUUAAGAGUGGCAAGACACAAAGGCUGUUCCUGUGUUUCCUUAAUGUUUUUCCCUAAAACACUGGCUACUGCCAUAAGCGUUUAUUUUCGUGAUCUGCCUUUUUAACGGGAAUGAAACUUCAAAAGAAUAGCGCUGUUUCUGUACGGCCUUUGUAAGUCCGCGGUUCCCUCAGGCGCCAGCACCGGGCGGGGCGGGGUGGCCGGCGGCGCGUGCUGUGCUGCCCUCCCCUCCACGCUGCGCCCGCGCGCGCGGGAAACUGCCAGAAGGUGAACGGGAGCGGGUCAGGAAAGAAAAUGCCUACCCGAGCCUUGGUGCUGAGGGUGUCUGCCUGCAGCUGAGGGCAGCUACCUUCCAGAAGAGACGGUUUGCAUCGAUAACAUACUCUGGGACAGAGGUUUCAUCACCAGUGUGUAUGGUGUUCUGCAUGGCUACUAUUUUACAAGAAAAGUAACAAGAACAGAUGGAUACUUCCUUAACACCUGCUGCUGUGGGAGUCUUGUGAAACACUUGCAAUUCGAGGCUCAUGUCGAAGACACAUCCCUGUAUUGACAGGAGGAAAAGACUUCAGAAGUCAAUACUUAACACAUUGGGGAAGACAGAAGAUGAAACCAUGAAUGUAUGAGCACUGCUGAAGUGUCUUUCCUCGUGGGUCUCCAUAGUACCCAUCCUUGUUACAGGUCCACCCAAGACUAGAAGUAGACACUCACUCAUUGCCUAUUAUUUCUGCCUUCAUUUAUUUAAACAAGCAAACAAACCAACCUCAUGUGUGUGAAUAAAACCAUAGUACCAUCGUAUAAGAAGUGCCAACAACCAGUGAGUCAAUGUGUUCAAAUCCCCCAACCCUCAUUAGUUUAUAACCCUUUUGACAACUAGAACCUGGUUGUUUAUUCAUCUGGUUGGCCUAGAUGGCCAAAAAGUGGCACUAUCAUCUUGUAGCUUCACUCACAUAAGAAGUUAUAUGAGUUUCCACCUCCAAACUCUUGCAGAAGUAUUAAUCUGAGAUCCUAUUCACUAUAGAGUCCAGGCUUCUAAUUACUGGACUUACAUAGGAUUGUGUUUUAUCUUGUCUGCCCCAUUUUGUACCAAGAAGGUACAAAAGAGAGACACAGUCCUGCAGACACCAAGGUGAGAGAAGGAGUGAAAGGAGGUGCUCCAGGUGCCAGAACAGAGAUUCCCCUGCAGCCUCUGGAAGAGACCAUUGUGGAUCAGGCUCCUGACAGGAACUGCAGCCCCUGGAGAGCCCAUGCAAAAGCAGGUUUACUCUGAAGGACUGCAGCCCAUGGAAGGACCCUUGCUGGAGCAGGAGGAAAGUGUUAUGAGAAAGUGAUGAGAUGUUACAGACUGACCACUGCUCAGGGGUGGGGGCAGUAGGUAGAGGAGUUGGGAACGAAGGAAUGAUUUGGAGCCUGGGAAAAAGUGGUGUGAGAGUGGGGAGAAAGUGGUUUAUUUUAUGUCUUUUUUCUUAUCAUCUUACUCAAUUUUAACUCUUGAUAUUAAUUUUUCCGAGGUCGUCUGUUUUGCUUGUGAUAGUCAUUGGUGAGCAAUCUCCUUGUGCUCAUCUUGACACAUGAGCUUUUAAUCUUAUUUUUAGCUCCUGUCCCACUGAGGAGGGGCAGUGAGAGAGCAGCUGGGUGGGAGUUUGAGUGCUAGCCAUGGCUAACCCACCACACCAGUGUAUCAUCUCUAUGCCAUCUUUAAUUUGAUCUCUAUCAAAUGAGUCCACUCAAAAAGUCACAGUUAUAAAAAAUAUGUGCAUGCAAUUUUGUGUUCUCUAGCUAAGCCCAUGAAAGAUUUCACUUGCCAUUUUGUGGGUAAACCUGGACACUCCAGCAAAAGACACAUCUAUAAACCUUACCAUUUUUUGAUUUCUCAAAGCUUAUCCUCAGUGGGUUUCCUCAUUACUCAUAUUUCAUUACAGGGCCGGGGUGGAAAUGAGUCCCAUUACCCUGAAUAACUUCUAAAAAAAUAGCUCUGGUUCUUUCUAUAUGUUAAAUCUAUAAGAUGUAUGCAUAAGUUAGCAUUUAUUAAGAUGUGAAUAUAUAACCACAAUUACAUUAAUAUCUUGUCCACGAGUCCCUGAAACGUUGGGGGAGCAUCACACUUGCCAAGCAGAGCUAGGCAGUCUUGGGUAGCUUCCUGUAGCUUUCUGCAGCUCAGGCUCUCUGCCACUGUCUCCUCCAACUGAGUGUGAUUACAUACAUGGCUUCAUCUGGCAUUCUGACAGUUCAAGACAUCAGAUAAUGAUAAAUUUAACAGUCCUCUUAGUUUCGGGAAUCAAUAUAUAAGAGGUAGUAUGGCUGAACUUUGGAGCUAAUGUAAGUGACAUCAGUAUAAGACAACACAAGGAAUACUGCAAGUGGUAUUAGAUAUUUCAGCUUAAGUAUCUUUAAACUUUCCAAAAAUAUUCACAGUAUCCAGAAGUGAUUCUAGUGGAUCUGAGGCACAUGCAGUGUUCAGUCAAGUGGAUUGCCCACGUAGUCAUUAUGAACACAUCUGAUCCAUAAAACUAAGAUUCCUAACUGACCUGUAUUUUGCCUAGUGACACCUAAUUAUUUCAGCUAUGAAAUCUAUAAGGCAGCUUAAUAUAUUUUUUAAACUUUUCUUUAAAAAAAACUUUUAUCCAAUUUCAGAAUAGCAUUAAACAAAUAUGGCAAUUCAAAAUCUGACAAGACGUUUUUAUUAAAGCAGUUGGGGUUUAUACUUUUGAAAUUGUCUAUGGCUGUUGUCUAAGAUUUUUUUGAAAAGUAGUUCUUCUAUAUCUGUGAUAGUGGCUCAUCUAUUGUUAUCAACCAAAGCCAAAAGGUUCAACACAAUGCUAAAAAUGAAGUUACAGUUUGUACCUGAGUUUCUCCAAAAAAGGUUGUGUUUUUUUAAUUAAAGCGCUCCCCGUGUCUUUAUAUUUCAAGUUUAAGAAUUCCAUUUUGCCUGUGAGAGUCUUUUCUUUCUGAAACUUGGCAUGACAUAACUAUGAAAAUAUUAUUAAUCUGUGUUGUACAUAUUCAAGUCUCAUCUUUUCCAUUACCCCAAAGUACCAUAAAAACAUAGGGGAGGUAUAUAUCUUAACUGAAAAGCUUAAACUUAAUGUUUUGUUUCACAAUUCAGCUAUUAUGCAGGACGCUGAAUGGCUUAUAACUCUUUGGUCUUUAACUGAUACAGGAUCACAGCUUUUCUAAAGCUGAUGCGGAUAGCAAGGCCAGCUAUUUCAUUCAAGCCAAACAGGGAAACAGUUGCAUUUCUGAUUGUUUUACUAAUGGCAGACAGCAAUGGAAAUUUAGAACACAAUAUUUCAGUUGGAAGGGACCUACAAUGAUCAUCUAGUCCAGCUGCCUGACCAGCUCAGGGCUGACCAAAAGUUAAAGCAUGUUAUUAAGGGCAUUGUCAAAAUGCCUAUUAAACACUGACAGGCUUGGGGCAUUGACCACCUCUCUAGGAGGCCUGUUCCACUGUUUGACCACCCUCUUGGUAGAGAAAUACUUCCUGGCAUCCAGUCUAAACCUCCCCUGAUGCACCUUGAACCAUCCCUACACAUUCUAUCGCUGGAUUCCAGGGAGGAGAGCUUAGCACCUCCAUACUUCACCUCCUCAGGAAGCUGCAGAGAGCAAUGAGGUUGCCCCUCAGCCUCCUGUUCUCUAAAGCACACAAGCCCAAAGUCCUUAUCCACUCCUCAUAGGAGUUGUGUUCAAAGUUUAGAUGAAGUGGCAAUACAUAACCUGUUUUGAAAUUACUGUGUAUGCAUCUGUGUACACUAGAAGGAAAACACAGGAAACAACAAGAAAAUUAAUUGUUGUCAGAGAGCAAUCCAAACCAGCGAAUUCAGAGCAAAGUGUUAUCAGGUGAAAGGUAUGUCUCCUGGUUUGUAUUUUCCACCAUAUUCAGGGAAACAGAACUUCAUGUACAUUUUCCUCAAAUAAACAAGAUUACAGCAAAGACAUACCUGAUUGAAAAAUCAUUUUUUUUUUCUGAAAAGUCUCAAAUAUUAAAAUAUAAAAUAUAUUCUGUGUAGAGGAAUUAUAAAGGAAUGAAGGCAGGUUAAUUAACAUUGAUAAUAUACCGCUGUGGGCUGGCUUCAGGUGCGGUGGGUUGGCUGACGUGGAUAAUAUGCAGCUGUGGCUGGUUCCUGCUAAGUAGCUAAAGAGCUGUAAGGGGUAGGGAAGAAGAAUACUGGGUGAAGGGGGACCCAGAAGAAGCAGAGGGAGGAGAAAGAGUACCUCAGAUGUGGGAGAGGCCCCAGGAAAAGCAAAGUGAAGAAGGAGGAGGCCUGGAUGAGGAGGGGCUGGCUGGAAGAGGAGCCUGGAGAAGGAAGACUCCAGAUGCAGCAGAGGCAAGAAGCAGGGUGGAUGGGCCUGAAGAGGAUGGAGAAACAGCACAGACAGUAGAUGAACUUUUGAAACCUUGUGGGGGAUUGGUGCCUGUGUCGAAGCAAGGUGCAGGAGCUACUUACUGAAGUUAACCUGGUAUGGGAUGGUAAAAGCCUUGUUGUAGCUGGCUAGGCUUGAUAGUGCUGUGACAUUUCUAUACUUAAAUACUAUAUUUUUCUUGUAAAGUAAUUUACCCCAAGCAAAACAGAUGAAAGCCAUUUUGUCAUGCAGAAAUGAAGUAAUUUUAAUUUAGUAUUAUCUUGAUCAUUCUAUGAUAUAGCUAUUCCUUUUUACUGGAUUAAUGUUUAAUUGUUAAAAUCAAUCCUGUCAGAGGUAAAAGAAUAGAAUAGCUUUUCAAAGUUUACACUUCCCUUCUUAUCAAACUAACAUGUUAAAAAAAGAAAAACUUCCCAAGUUCCUAAUGAUAAAACAUAAAGUGCAUAGGGUAUUCUGCUGGAAUAUGGGGGGGAAGCCUUGUUCCUUGCUGUCAUGGUUACUGGUAUUUUUAAUCAAAGAUGGUCUAAUUUAAAGUGUGUGUUUGAGAAGCCUUGUCUGGAAAUCGGAGAUCUGUUCCCUCUUGAGUGAUUGUCUUAAGCAAAGCCCAAAUAAAGGUUUGAGGUUCUCUCUUC